rnacentral:rRNA from 1 species
GAUGAACGCUGGCGGCGUGCUUAACACAUGCAAGUCGAGCGAGUGAGUUCUUCGGAACGAUCUAGCGGCGGACGGGUGAGUAACACGUGGGCAACCUGCCUCAUAGAGGGGGAUAGCCUCCUGAAAGGGAGAUUAAUACCGCAUAAAAUUAUCGAGUGGCAUCACAUGAUAAUCAAAGGAGUAAUCCGCUAUGAGAUGGGCCCGCGGCGCAUUAGCUAGUUGGUGAGGUAACGGCUCACCAAGGCGACGAUGCGUAGCCGACCUGAGAGGGUGAUCGGCCACAUUGGGACUGAGACACGGCCCAGACUCCUACGGGAGGCAGCAGUGGGGAAUAUUGCACAAUGGGGGAAACCCUGAUGCAGCAACGCCGCGUGAGUAAUGAAGGUCUUCGAAUUGUAAAGCUCUGUCUUUGGGGACGAUAAUGACGGUACCCAAGGAGGAAGCCACGGCUAACUACGUGCCAGCCCCGCAGUAA